rnacentral:misc_RNA from 1 species
GGAAGUAAAAAUCGUAACAAGGUUUCCGUAGGUGAACCUGCGGAAGGAUCAUUAUUGUAUAACCGAGGUGCGAGGGCUGUCGCUGACCCGAAAGGUCGUGCACGCCCGAGUGCCCUCACACACAUCCAUCUCACCCCUAUGUGCACCACCGCGUGGGUCCCCCUUUGGCUUGUUCGGAGGGGGGCUUACGUUUUCACACAAACUUUGUAUGCAGUGUAGAAUGUAUUUUUUGUUUUUGCGAUCACGCAAUCAAUACAACUUUCAACAACGGAUCUCUUGGCUCUC